UACGUAGGGUGCAAGCGUUAAUCGGAAUUACUGGGCGUAAAGCGCGCGUAGGCGGUGAUCUUUGUCAGAGGUGAAAGCCCGGGGCUCAACUCCGGAAUUGCCUUUGAAACGGGAUCGCUUGAGUCCGAGAGAGGAUGGCGGAAUUCCUAGUGUAGAGGUGAAAUUCGUAGAUAUUAGGAAGAACACCGGUGGCGAAGGCGGCCAUCUGGCUCGGUACUGACGCUCAGGCGCGAAAGCGUGGGGAGCAAACAGG
rnacentral:rRNA from 1 species